rnacentral:sRNA from 1 species
GGACAUGGAGUCCUAAGUAACUGAAAUUAAAGCCCGAUAAAAAGAGACCGAAUACGAUUCCUGUAUUCGGUCCAGGGAAAUGGCUCUUGGGAGAGAGCCGUGCGCUAAAAGUUGGCAUUAAUGCAGGCUAAGUUACCCUGCCAUUUAAGAAUAGAUGACAGCGCCAGGUUUUCCAGUCCGCGACUAAAGUGGCCGGAAAAAAAGGACGUUUGUUACGCAUCCAAACGCAAAAACCGCAAGUUCUCGUGUGA